CUACCGGGGUAUCUAAUCCUGUUUGCUCCCCAUGCUUUCGUGCAUCAGUGUCAAAUAAAUCGUAGCCACCUGCCUUCGCAAUCGGUGUUCUGGAUGAUAUCUAUGCAUUUCACCGCUACACCAUCCAUUCCGGCAGCCUCCAAUUAUUUCAAGCUCUACAGUAUCAAUGGCACCUCAACCGUUGAGCGGCUGUAUUUCACCACUGACUUAUAAAGCCACCUACGCACCCUUUAAACCCAAUAAAUCCGGACAACGCUCGCACCCUCCGUAUUACCGCGGCUGCUGGCAC
rnacentral:rRNA from 1 species